UACGUAGGCAGCAAGCGUUGUUCGGAGUUACUGGGCGUAAAGGGCGUGCAGGUGGUCUGUUAAGUCUGGCGUGAAAGCUCCUGGCUAAACCGGGAGAGGUCGUUGGAUACUGGCGGACUAGAGGACGGUAGAGGCGUGUGGAAUUCCGGGUGUAGUGGUGAAAUGCGUAGAGAUCCGGAGGAACACCAGUGGCGAAGGCGACACGCUGGGCCGUACCUGACACUGAUACGCGACAGCAUGGGGAGCGAACGGG
rnacentral:rRNA from 1 species